rnacentral:rRNA from 1 species
ACGAACGCUGGCGGCGUGCUUCACACAUGCAAGUCGCACGGAAAGGCCCUGCUUUUGUGGGGUGCUCGAGUGGCGAACGGGUGAGUAACACGUGAGUAACCUGCCCUUGACUUUGGGAUAACUUCAGGAAACUGGGGCUAAUACCGGAUAGGAGCUCCUGCUGCAUGGUGGGGGUUGGAAAGUUUCGGCGGUUGGGGAUGGACUCGCGGCUUAUCAGCUUGUUGGUGGGGUAGUGGCUUACCAAGGCUUUGACGGGUAGCCGGCCUGAGAGGGUGACCGGCCACAUUGGGACUGAGAUACGGCCCAGACUCCUACGGGAGGCAGCAGUGGGGAAUAUUGCACAAUGGGCGGAAGCCUGAUGCAGCAACGCCGCGUGCGGGAUGACGGCCUUCGGGUUGUAAACCGCUUUCGCCUGUGACGAAGCGUGAGCGACGGUAAUGGGUAAAGAAGCACCGGCUAACUACGUG